CGAAUUAAAAAUUAAUAAAAGAGAAGGUAGUAGACAAAAGGAACAGAGGCCUUCUAGAGUCUCUUUUCCUUCACAUUUCCUGUUUCCCUUUUGCAUGAUACCGUCCUUGAGUCACUGUCGGACGCUGUUUGAAGUCUAAUCAGCCUCCGUUCACCGGCGCCGUCGUUGCACGAUACAGCCUCGCUGACGUCGCUGCUUGAACUCGAACCAAACAGUGUCUUCUUCGUCACAACUCACAAUCUGAACCUCGUUGUCAACGACCUCGCACCAGACCACGCUGUCGUCGCACCAGAAAACGCUGUUAGACUCGCACCGGCACCGUCGCCGCACUAGCACUAGAAGAUGAGUAGUGCUACUAAUCAAGCUAUAGAACAAGAUGUUGAAACUACUCUACGGAAAUAUGUUUCAAAAACAAGAAAGAAAGAUGUCUGACGGUGGAAAUUAUGAGAUCAAGUGCAACAUUUGUGAACUUACAUUCAAGUUCAUGAGAUCAAGUUUCAGAUAAGUGAUUAUAUAUAUAUAUAUAUAUGUAUAUAUAUGUGUCGUGUUCCGUGUCCAUGCUUCUUAGGGACGAAUAGACAACUAUUGUGAUCCACUUUCUUGGUUGGGGUUUACUUGAAAUUGAAUGAGAUACACAUGCUUGGAACAUUGACACAAAUUUGAAUGAAAUUGUCCAAGGCAACCAACCAAUAUCAACAUUGGAUAUUUACCUUAACUUAAAACGGCACUACGCAGAGAGAACUAUGACUUUAAAGUUACACUAAAAAAAUUCCAUGCAGAAUUUUCUUACAAUAUGAACAUGGAUAAUUUUUUCACCUCUAAUUAGUUUCUGUCUACUAUAUAUAUGCUGCUGUUUCUCUACUUUGAAGCCUUUUAUUGUGCCUAAUUCAACUGUAAAACAUAACAUUCUUCACCCUGCUCUAUUCAACAGUAAAACAUAACAUUCUUCACCUUCUCUUUCAGAGCAGGCAGUGGCCGAACAGGCCCUUCUUUCAAUCUUGUUCCUCGCAGUUUUGUAAUCUCAGCAACAUCAGGUUCCAUGUAGAAUCGAGCCCUGUAGGCUGCUAGAUGAGCAUAAUAUGCUGGAGGCACUGCACACACAAAACAUAAACAUUACAUCAGAUAACAGUAACAACAUGCCUUGAAACCAGUUAGUUAAGUUUGCAAAGAAAUUUCAAUGUUUGAUUGUGUUUAAACAAAUUUGUGUGUAAGGACUGUUUUGAUUAAUCCUUUGUAUUUGAAACUAAUAUUACUUAUUGGCAUAUUAGAUGAGUGUUUAUGAUCAGCAGAAUUACCUACUGAAA